CUGGUGUGGACAAUUCAAGACUUUCUUACUCUCCUCAGUGUCUCUUUCCUUUAUAUGAUAUUAAGACCAGGUACUGUAAUUGCUCACCGCUUUUUGGUUCCUGUAAAAGUUCUGUGUGUAUUUUGUGUGCUUUCUAUUCAAUUCCAUGUUCCUGCAGGAAGAAUGAUUGCUGGAGGCUUCUAUUUGACCAUCCUGCUCUGUCUCUUCUCUGUGUGAUAUACUCCUAACUAAUGACAUCUGCAACAUUCUGAAGUACUGGAGGCUAGGACUUCAACAUAUGUUUGGGGACUUCAAUUUGACCCACAACUACAUGCUAUAUAUUUUUUUAAAGGAUUACUUAUGGUAUACAGACUCACAGAGCUGAUACAGGUUGAGAUAUAUUCAUAUAUAUCUUUAAUUAUUUCCCUCAACGUUUAUAUGUAUGUAUAUUUAUAUAUAAUAUAUAAAUAUGUACUAUAUAUUAUAUAAAUAUAUAUAUUCAAUUUAGAUAGAUUUUGGUGAAUGAUUUCAGGUAGAGGAAAAAUGUAUGUAUCUGGAAUCUUACUUUUACUUAAUACUAUACUGAGCAGAAAAUAACGUCCAACACAAAUUAGAAUUGGCUUAGAGUUGCCUGAAGAUAAGCAUGGGUUCAAGGGGGUCUACCUUUCUGUUUCCUAAUUCUUUCCUGUCCUUUUUCAUUACCUGUCUUUCUCUACUGUGCUAUAAUCCCCUAUACGGGAGAAUUAGUGCUCCCUUGGUUUCAUACGUCAA
rnacentral:lncRNA from 1 species